rnacentral:rRNA from 1 species
UACGUAGGGGGCAAGCGUUGUCCGGAUUUAUUGGGCGUAAAGCGCGCGUAGGCGGCUCCGCAAGUCGGCCGUGAAAUCUCCGGGCUCAACUCGGAGGGGUCGGGCGAGACUGCGGGGCUCGAGGUGGGCAGAGGGCAGUGGAAUUCCGGGUGUAGUGGUGGAAUGCGUAGAGAUCCGGAGGAACACCAGUGGCGAAGGCGGCUGCCUGGGCCUGGCCUGACGCUGAGGCGCGAAAGCGUGGGGAGCGAUCCGG